rnacentral:lncRNA from 1 species
CCACACAUUCAUGGUCGUGUUUCCUAAACAAAAUGUUCAAAAUUUCUUUUCAUUUCACGGGUAAGACCUCAAACUUAGCUAAAUAACAUGAAUAUCAUUUUUCUACUCAUUUUAUUCUAUAGUUUGAAUCACUUGCAGUUCAAAUUUGACAUAUACAAAAAAUUUCCUUGAAAUGCAAUUAAUUAAUUAAAUAUAGCAAACAAAUGCAAAAAUGUACCAAAUUUUA